AUGACGGCGGCGUGGGGGCAGUGUUGACUAUUUCCUAUUUCUCUUUAGGCCAGACGCAUUGGCAAUCAGCAAAGUGUAGUGCAAUGCACAUCCAGUGACAGGCAGGAGAGUAAGAAAACCCGGAACACCUCGGACAACAAAUCCACGGCGCUGAUAGGCUUGUUGUUGGUAUUCUAUCUAUUUGCCUGGUGUCCUAUCCUUAUCUACUUCCUGUAUGCAUUACUCUCUAAGGAUAGGCCGAGUCCUUACAUUGGCGCCACCUGUCGGAUUUUUGUUUUCACCAACUCAUGUGUUAACGUCUUCGUCUACUCUCUGCGUCUUCAGAAUUUUCGAAAAUACAUGCUGAAAGAUCUGCGUGCUUUACGCCAAAGUGUUUGCAGUUGUCCACACGUAAAGAACAGAAGCAUUCGGACUGGCCUUCAUGGACAAAUUACAAGCAGUAAUGACCAGGUUGUGUCUAUACUCGUUAGCGAAACUGACAACAUUGGACACAUGACAGAAACCGACACAAGUUGUAACGAGACAUGUAUUACUACAUGUAAUUAAUACACUGAUUAAUUUUUUUUAUGAAUGUAUGUUGUAGAUGUUUUGAAUAUACAUGAAGAAUUCU